GCCCGUCGGAUCACGAAUUAUCUCUACAAAUGGACUUUGCAAGUUUCAGGGGACCUGUACUUGUUUUUAGGUUAAUGUGUCAGUUUCAGAUGUUCCCUUAUGAGGAACAAAAAGCUCAACCAGGUUUAGCAGAUUCUAGAAGGUGGAUUUUUUUCCCCCUCUAUGCAGGGCUGUGGACAUGUGGCAAUUUCCCUGGCCGUUUAUGCAAGAGGUUCCAUUCUCCGAUCUUCCACACACCUGAGACCUCUGCUCUUGGGAUGACGGAGAGCGAGGGCUGGGGAGCUGCAGCUGGUAAAUCACUCGAAUCAUGCAAAGCCCGUCAGGACCCCUGGAGAAACUGGGGCCGGAAGAGCUCAAGCUGCUCGCACAGGUCACUGGGACUGAAAAGAAAGACUGUAGCCAAGAAUGGAACUCAACUACACGGAUCUUCGCUACACGGAACUCAACCACACGCCGAGAAGUGAUGACGUUUCUACAGUUCAGGGCUGGGAUCUGACUUCACUACUCCCAAGAAUGCCUGCUCAGAACCCUGAUAAUCCUGGAAGGCUUGAAAAGGCAGAACUCUUUAUUUCUACUGCCCAGACCUUACCACACAAGCAAAGGCCUAAGAAAGAAGCAGUGGCAACGCUAACAUUUUCUGGAUAGCUGUGCUGGCCUGACACUGGACGAGGUAUUUUAUGUUAAUUCUCUCAAAUAACAGAAGAGGCAGACAUUAUUAUAUCCAUUUUAUAGGUG
rnacentral:lncRNA from 9 species